UACGUAGGCAGCAAACGUUGUUCGGAAUUACUGGGCGUAAAGGGCUCGUAGGCGGCCAACUAAGUCGAACGUGAAAUCCCCGGGCUCAACCCGGGAACUGCGUCCGAUACUGGCAGGCUUGAAUUCGGGAGAGGGAUGCGGAAUUCCAGGUGUAGCGGUGAAAUGCGUAGAUAUCGGGAAGAACACCCGUGGCGAAGGCGGCUCUCUGGGACGGUACUGACGCUGAGACGCGAAAGCGUGGGGAGCGAACAGG
rnacentral:rRNA from 1 species